AGUGAACGCUGGCGGUAGGCCUAACACAUGCGAGUCGAACGGCAGCACAGUAAGAGCUUGCUCUUACGGGUGGCGAGUGGCGGACGGGUGAGGAAUACAUCGGAAUCUACUUUUUCGUGGGGGAUAACGUAGGGAAACUUACGCUAAUACCGCAUACGACCUACGGGUGAAAGCAGGGGAUCUUCGGACCUUGCGCGAUUGAAUGAGCCGAUGUCGGAUUAGCUAGUUGGCGGGGUAAAGGCCCACCAAGGCGACGAUCCGUAGCUGGUCUGAGAGGAUGAUCAGCCACACUGGAACUGAGACACGGUCCAGACUCCUACGGGAGGCAGCAGUGGGGAAUAUUGGACAAUGGGCGCAAGCCUGAUCCAGCCAUACCGCGUGGGUGAAGAAGGCCUUCGGGUUGUAAAGCCCUUUUGUUGGGAAAGAAAAGCAGCAGGUUAAUAUCCCGCUGUUCUGACGGUACCCAAAGAAUAAGCACCGGCUAACUUCGUG
rnacentral:rRNA from 1 species